AUGAGUUUUGAAUUUGUAAUGUCUUUGAUAGAUGGAACAGGCUGCUGUCACACUUUUGAAUAAUGUUGAUCUUAAUGUUGAUGAUUACACCAUCAGAAUCCGCAUUGUCAGGCUAUGGACAAGACCUACUUUCAAUAAUCCUAGAAAGAUUUAUUGCUACGACAUGAUAUUCAUGGACCAGGAGGGUACGAAAAUGCAGGCCUUUGUUUUACAGAAAAACACUACUGGUUAUGAACAUUUGCUGAAAGAAAAUCAAUGUUUAACCAUUCGUAAC
rnacentral:lncRNA from 1 species